AUUGAACGCUGGCGGCAGUGCCUUACACAUGCAAGUCGAACGGCGAGCCAUGAUCUAGCUUGCUAGAUUGAUGGCGAGUGGCGAACGGGUGAGUAAUACAUCGGAACGUGCCCUGUAGUGGGAGAUAACUAGUCGAAAAGAUUAGCUAGUACCGCAUACGACCUGAGGGUGAAAGUGGGGGACCGCAAGGCCUCGAUGCGUAAUAGGAGCGGCCGAUGUCUGAUUUAGCUAGUUGGUGAGGUAAAGGCUCACCAAGGCGACGAUCAGUAGCUGGUCUGAGAGGACGAUCAGCCACACUGGGACUGAGACACGGCCCAGACUCCUACGGGAGCAGCAUG
rnacentral:rRNA from 1 species